GUCCCAGUUCAGAUCAGGGUAGCUCAGUCAGGAGAGUAUGAGACUCUUAAUCUCAGAGUCGUGGGUUCGAGCCCAACGUUGGGCA